UAAUCUGGUUGUUUAUUAAAAUGGCAGACAACAUGUAUAUGUUUAAAAUAUCAUUUGAAAUUUGUUUAUCAGUCAAAAGAAUAAAAUUAAUACGAAAUACAAAGGGGUGCUUUACCCUAGUAGAAAGCAAGAUGAGUAAUCCCUUACUCUGAUUACAAUAAAAAGAACUCCCCUAAUCUCAUUCCUAACUGGUCUAAAAUUUGGCCUAACCAGUUCCUCAUGAUAAAAACUGGUAUGAAGGGCAGUAGCAAAAAACAAGAACCAAAAAAUUGUGUUUAUCUAAACAAGUUAUACGCCUAUGUUAUGUUGGUAGCAAAAUCAUUGCCUCCUCAUCCAGGUAUAAAUAAUACAGAAUGAACUAUUUUGUUGAUUUGGGUUAUAAUUGCCUGCAGAGUGCAUCCCUCUGACUGUUUUCCUUGAGCCCAAUUAACCACUAAUGAUAUACAGUGCCAAUGCCAACUUCUGAUAUCCCAACUAAAGAUUCCAAUUCUUGGCAAUCUGUGAAUUUGGUUGCUGCUUUAACUCAAUACCUGGAACUGCAUAACAACAAAUAAAGAAACCCUUAUGAACUGACAUAACAGUAAUGACAAAACAGUAGAGUGGAAUCUUCAGAGUACAAGGAUGAGUAAACUGCCAUUACAGGGCUAUGUAUUGCAGGAUGCCCACUUUAGCUAUGCUAUGGAUGAAUUUUUUUAAGAAUAAAGAGAUGAACAAGCACCCCAGAAGCAAUAAAUAGAUAAUGUUUACUGUAUAAGCUAGACAUCCUAUUCCAGCUAGCACCUUGCUCGUAUUGGAAUGCUAUAAGCACUGCAAACCGCAGCUACAGAACCAUAAAAAAUAGACCAACAUAUUGGUUAUCUCUCCACCAUCUCAUUGACAUUCCUUCUACCCAGCUUCUUAAAAUUCUUGGCAUAUGGGAGUCCUAAUUAUAACUUCUAAUGCAAAACAUUGGAUUAAGAAUCCAGUCUACGAAAGAAUAAGUAAAGGAAUGCACCUUGUGCUUCAUUCGAAACCAGGAUUUGAGUUGAGCCUUCUGAAACACCUCCUCUGCAUCUACUAGCCCUUUUUUGAAUACAAAAGCACUUAUCUAACCGUUUUCUUGCUAUACAGUGACACGGCAACCAUUGCGUUAAUCAGAUCUUCUGCUUCUUCACCUUCCAAACUGUAAAUUUGCUGAACAAAAAUAUAUAAAGAUUCAUAAAUAUAUGAAAAUCAAAAUUAAUGGGAUAGGGGAGGAUAAAAGAAGAUGAAUGAAUACACUGUAAACAAAGUUCUAAACAAGCAAAGCAAGUCAAGAAAAAUAUGAGAAGGCUAUAAAAAAAUAUAAAAUUCAGUUACCUGUUCAGUGUUCUACUGAUCACAAAAGUCAAGCCACCUAAAUAGUUAGGAGCACCUUCAGGGAUUUCCUCUCAUUCAAAUUCCAUUAUUUUUUUCAACGCAUGCCCUCAUUUCAAUUAAGCCAAUGGAAGCAGAAACUGAACCUGCACAAUUUCAAACCUCACAGAAAUAUCUGCAUUUGAAAAAUGGGAAAAAUCACAAAAAAUAAAGGAAAAUGAAAUAUACAACAGCAUCACACUCACAUUUUUCUCAGACUGGGGUUUAUCCGAAGACAAGAAUAUCGAUAAUAAAACAUUACAAAGACAAGAAGUUGAUGCGUGGAGAAAGUGGUGAACUAGAUACUAAAAUAUUUGCACUAAAUAAGAUUUUAUUUGAAAUGGUUCAAAGAUAGUGUGGAGGAUUGGCACCUGAUGAAAAUGUAGGCAUGUGAGAAUUCGUGUCUUAGGAAUUUCCAAUUUCUGCUUCGUCUUUUAUGUUUACUUGUUCGCCAUCAACCAGUAUAGUUUUAAUGUGAGCAAUCUUUUUCCAGUCUUCACCUCCUUUCUUGCACCGUUGUUUGAGCAAUGGGCAACAUUCAAUUUGGAGAGUUGAAAUGGAUUUGGGCAGACCCUCCUCUGGGAAGCAUUGGAGUAUUGGACAAUUAUGAAUAACCAAUUUCUGAAGAGAGGAGAGGUCAAAGAAAUCCCUGUAGUUCAGUUUCUUAAGUUUUGGACAAUCGUUUAUGCGUAGCUCAGUAAGAGAGAAAGAUAGAAAACCAUUACAUGGAAAACACUCCACUUCCUGUUUUUGAACAGACAAAAGUUCUAUGGAAGGAUCAUUGGUUUCCGGAAGCCACUUCUUUAGUGAGGCAACAAGUUUGGAACAUUUCAAGAAAUACAUUUCUUUUAGAUUUGGUGGCAAACAUCCCUCAGACAACUCCACUUCUGGACAAUCAUAUAUAUACAUAAAUAUAAGAGAUGGAAGGAGGGCAGACAUGCGUUUAGGCAAUGAUUUCAAUUUAUCCAAUUUUUUAAUCCAAAUUCUCUCUAUCUGCGGUGCAAAUAAUCCUUCAUUGGGAAAUAAUUCAAAUUCAGAGCAUUUUUGAAUUGUCAGAAUCUUCAAAUGACCAUGAGGGUGUCCCUGUGAUAUCAUUUGUAGGUUAUGACAUUCGUUAAAACAAAGUUGACGGAGUUUUGGAAAUAAGUCUAGAGGGAAGAUCGUGAGAGAGUCACAAGAUUGAUUGAUAUUCAAUACUACAAGAAAAUGGUAGUAAUGGUUUAUGGGAAUGUUCAUGCCCGAACAAGAAUAAAUAUUCAAGGAUUCAAGAGAAGUAUCAGAUACGAGGAGCCCUAUCAUAUCAAAUAGAGAUGUCUUCGUCUUCACACCUUCAACUUCUACCACCCUUGGAGCUGAAGCCCCAAAUUGUUCACACUGUCGAAUACUUAGAUUCUUUAAAUGAGGAAGGUGCUCUGGCAAGUGCCCUUUGAGUUUGGGACAUUUCCACAAAAUAAGACUUUGAAGACUUGGAAACGCACCUGUUACGCAUUGCCAUUCUUCCCAUUCCGUCAUAUCCUGAAAGUUCAACUUUUCCAAGGAUGAAAAAGCAGAAGAGCUAAACCCGUAAAAAUCAACAUCUAUCCUUACUAUCUGACGAAGGCCGGUAAUUUUCAAGUCCUUGAGAGAUGUCAAAAGUCCAAGGGAAGGCAACCAUUGACAAUAUUUACAGUUAUUCAAGUUUAAGGACACCACAUUCAUUAGAAGUUUAUGAGAUAACCAAUGUGGAAAUUGUGUGCCAUAAUAGUUCAGGAUUGAGAAAUGCUCCAAAUGUCUGGAAGGUUGCAGAUUCUCAAGUACUUCUCUUUCUUUUAUUGAAUCCUCAUUGUUUCGGUUUAAAUUCCAUUCUAAAUUUAACCCCACAAGAUAUGUUUUAUUCUUCAAAUCAGCAGCCAAUGCAUCACAGGGACUCACGAUAUUUUCAAGAUUUUGAAUUGAUAGCUUUCCAUGAAGAUCAAGUUGUCCUAGUUGUUGAAUACUAAACUCAUUACUACUUUUUCCAACCCUAAACCCACCCGUCCAUACUUGAAGAUUCUUCAACUUUCCUGAAAGCACUAGACCUUUUCUUAAGGUAGUUCCCCUAAGUUCAAGGCGACGCAAAUUAGGAAGUUCAUCCAAAGUCGAGGGCAAUUCCUGCAAAUUGAGACAAGUGUUUCAACACUUGCAAAUUAUAAAGUGAACAUGUUGAGUCAGGAAGCCUCUUUAUAAUGGUACCUGAAACGUCUAAUGAACGGAGAUGUAUAAGAUCGGCUAUAGUGUCAGGAACCUCUUCUAUGUAAGUACAACUAGACAAAGAUAAGAGUCGUAAGAACUUAAAGUUUGAGAUCAACUCUUGUAUUGAUAUCCCACAAGUCCUAAAUGUGGAAAGAAAUGUUCGUAGCCUUUUAGCAUCACAUACACUCCAAUACUCAUGACCUUCACUACGAUUCAUUAUAGCUGAAAAGUGACGGGUUGCCUUUGGUACACUUCCUCGUCUAUCAACACCCAACCUGUAGCAAAUUUCGCCAGAAACAUAUUUUGCUAAAUCAUUCAGAAGGUCGUGCAUCACAAAACAUGGUUUGUUAUGCAUUAUGUCUUUUGUAAUUGAAUGUUGAAAGAAUGACCUUGAUAAUAGAUCGUUGAAGUAUUGUUCACCUACUUCUUCUGGAGACUUACUCUGUUGAGAGCAUUGUAAAAAAUUUUCAGCCAUCCAUGAGAGAAUUAAGUUGUCCUUGUCAAACUUAUGGCCUUUGGGAAAUAACGCACAAUAAGCGAAACAUCUCUUAAGAUGAGAAGGAAGAUGGUAAUAGCUCAAUAACAAAGCAGGGAUUAUUUUACUAUCUGCUAUUGGUAAGUCCCAUAUGUUACUUCUCAGUACACCUUCCCACUCUGCAACAAAUGACUUUGACUGUAAGAGACCUCCUACCGUUUCAAGGGCCAGAGGCAGUCCUUGACACUUUUCAACUAUCUUCAUGCCAAUCUCCUUUAACUCAGAAUUCAACUUAGAGUUGUCAUCUUUCCCUACAUGUUUAGCAAAAACUUGCCAGCUAUGAUCUUUUUGUAAUUGCUUUAGUUGGUGUAUAUGGUUUGACUCUAAGGUAGAAGCAACUUUGUUACUACGUGUGGUCACGAGAAUUUUACUUCCCUUAACUCCAUAUUUAAGAGGAGUUUGCAAUGCUUUCCAUUGGUCUCGGUCUUCAUUCUAGACAUCAUCCAAAACCAGGAGAAACCUUUUUCCUUUCAACAAUUCUUUCUUUCAAUCGUCCCUGAACCAUUUCUAGGUUUCUGCUAUCAUCAGUUGACUUAUGAAUUGCCUCAAGAAUUGCUCUGGUUAACUUGAAAACAUCAAAUUCAUCAGAAACGCAGACCCAUGCUUUGAUAGCAAAUUUAGUCUCCAUCAUUGGGUCGUUGUAUACAUGUUGAGCAAGUGUGGUCUUACCCAUCCCGCCCAUAGCAACAGUAGAAACUAUUGAAAGAUGAUUAUGAUUUCCAUUAUCUGAUGUUAGCCAAUUAACGAUCUUUUCUUUGUCCUCAUCUCUGCCAUAAAUAACGUCCUCAGCCACCAAUGAUGAGGAUUCAUUUCUUUUCCCUGACACAUUAUUACCCGACCCAGAUCCAACACCACUAGAAAUUUUGAAAUCUUGAACAAGCUUUUGGUCUAAGAGAGAUUCUAGAUCUUCUAGGAGUUCUAUCAUAUUGGAUUCAAAACUGCUUACCUUGCUACCACUGCUCUGAAAUUCAGAUUUCAACUCACUUUUGAAGAAUUCAUAGUCUAUUUGCUCCAACAGAUCCUCCGCAUUAUACAACGCGUCUCUGACCUCAUGAAGCCAUUCUUUGACCAAUGAAUUAGUGAACUGUUUUUGUUCUGCAUCAUCAAUCACAGCAUUGAUGUCCAUCAGCUUCCUCUUCAACUUUUUCAGCAUCCUCACAUCCAGCUUUCUCCCACCAAAGUAGUCGAGAAGUUGAUGAGAAUCGAGCUUGUCAAACAGGACUUGGAGAACAGCACCAAAAAGAGCACCACCAAGAGUUUCUAAGACUGGCAUGGUUUGAAGGGAAGGUUGGGAAAAUAAAGAGAAGAAAGGGUUGUGAAAAUUGGAAGUGCAGCUUAGUUAUGUGAAUGAAGGAGUGAGAAAAGUUAACGAGUGAGUCAUAGUUGAUUAUUCCGACAGCACCAAGUGGGUUUCAUAACAUAAUAUUUUCUACCAACUUUAGUGAAUUAGUCUUUUUCAAAGGCUAACUUUAUGAAUAAACACACCCAACCCACUUAUAACAUCUGACAUGACUAUGAAAUGGAUUCAUUUCCCAUUUUGUUCUUUCUUUUAGCAGAAGUGGUUCCUUAUUAAGAAUGAGUUUAUGUGAAUAAAGCAGUGAUGGCCAAAACUAUGAAAUGUGAUAUCUAUGAAUUUAAAUGACUAAGUGAUGAAUAAAAUAAAACCGCAAUGGUUCACCAUCUUCCGUAAUUUCAGGCAUCACAUCACAACGCGUGCUCACUUACUUGAAGAUGGCGUUUGGCCAAAAAGCAAAAGGAAAAAAAGAAGAAAAAUAGUAUAUGAAAGUUUGAAGUUACUAUACCUCUCCCUAAUCAAAUGUACAAGAAAUAAACAUUAGUAAACAUAUAAACUACGUUUCAUAUGUUUCAUAAUUAAUUUAUAUUAUAAUAGAAAAUCAUGCCUAAUUUCAUAAAAAAACAAUUUAAAAUAAAAAUGAAAAUAACCCCACAUUACCAUUAUACUUUCGAAAAAUUUGUUUGCGCUGCACUUGUUAAAGUCUUGUGUGAGAAGUAUGCGAUUGGAUCAUGUUGAAACAUCCACAUUUAUCUCUAUAAACUCUAGCUUUGUCAUCACCACAUUUAGUGUUUGCAAAAGCAUCUCCUUGCCGUGAGCAAUAUAAAUCAAACAUUGGUCUUGGUGCUUAGUGUUCACCUUAGGUUUCUUUGUUUUCUCGCCGGUUGACCUCGAUUGGACUGGAUGGAGAGCUCCGCUUCUGAUCUGUCUUCUCUUGAUGCUUUGGAAUGUGGCUCCAUUGGGAUAGAGGGGUUCUACGUGUUGAUCACACUCUGACGAUCAAGUCAGUGAGAGCAUACAAAAUAAGUAAUCAGUUUCAUUCUAAAGUACUCAGAAACAACAUACCUUUAUCGGGGGUCUCAAGCCUCUUUUAUAGUUAUCCCUUUAACAGCUUUCACUUACAAGAAUAUAAUCUCAACUGAAAGCAUAUACAAUAAAAAAAUACUCUGCCUACGGGCACCUUGUCUCACGGUGCUAACAACAAAAGAGAAUCCCGUACAACUUUAUUCAUGGGUGUUGACUACUUAAUUAACAACUUUAUUCAUAUAUUCUAUAUUGCCGAUCAAAAAAAAAAAAUUCAUAUAUUCUAACAACUUUUACAUAUAUUAACAUAUAUAUUUGACUAACAGCUUUAUAUAUACUAACAUAUAUAUUCAACUAACGGCUUUCAUAUUAACAUAUGACUAAACUCAAUAUUUUCCCUACUUUAAUUAUUCCUAACCGUGCUUAUCAUUAAAGUUGGGGCGAGCUCAUGAACUGCUUUUGGGCCCAAAACUGAGCCGACCAUAUCCAAAUGCCUGGACCGAAGUCCCGAGCACCCCUAUCCAGUACAUAAGCCAUAGGCUCGAGCGGAGAUUGACUUGCCGAAGAGGCUUUCUAGCAUUCGAUGGCUGAUGCGACGUUUCCUCAGAAAGUAGGUGAGACGCGAUUGCCAAAGCGACUCCUGAUGGGACACCUUAUUAGAUUGAAUAUGCAGCGUCCACGUGGCGUGGCAUCAACGAUCGACAUUUCCUAUCGUUUCAACUUCUCCAAACUUUCAAAACAUCCAUUUCCCCUUUUCUUUCUCUACAUCCGCUACAAAGCCAUGUACUUUUAGGCCAAAAAGGACCUUUUAAAAGAAACCUCUUUCUAUACCACCUGUGAAUGUAUUAGGGGUUUAAGAAAGAGUGGUUGCACCUUUGGUAAGAGGCACGAUAGGUUUGUAAGAAUAGCAGAGUGUAGGAAAGAUGAGCCCGUAUGUUGUGAUGAAUCCUCGGACCCCGAGGGUCCAUUCUGUUUCUUUUAUACUACCUUUUUUAAGAAAGUCCUUUUACGUCUUCCUUUGUCGAUUUUUGAAAAUGAAUUGUUAACCGAGCUCAACGUAGCUCCUGCCCAGCUACAGCUAAAUAGCUGGGGCAUUCAUUUGUGCCUUUACUAUUUUGUGUUCACAACUCAGAAUUUCGUCGACUGUGGAAGUUUUCCUUUACUUCUUUGAGGCCAAGCAUUCAAGCUGCCAAUUAUGGAUAUCCUUCAACGGUGCCCCUGGAAGAGCUUUGCUCACACUCUUCCAGUCUUCUUACAAAAAUUUCAAGGGCAAGUUCCUAAAAAUCCGAGCUACCAAAGGAGAUCAAAUCCUUCUGGACGAGUUUCCUUUAUACUGGACCCCUGAACCAAGAUUCCAGAGUGCUCGACACCUGGACGACUUGUCCCAACGAGAUCAGGGAGUAUGCGAAUUCUUAACGAACCUAAAGGUUGUUUUUGACACUUCCUUCCUCUUGAACAAAGAGUACCUUCCUGGUGUUUUGAAAGCCUAAACUGGUACUCCUCGUUUCAUACCUUUGGUAACAUAAACUCCAUUACCGUGCUUAACCACUAUUUUGCAGUAAGGAUGUUAUCCGACAUCAGGAAAUCGGAAAUGGUUGAACGUAUUAGAAAGAUGAGAGUUGCUACCAGCCUUAGCAAGGAUUCUCCAACUCAAAAAAGGAAGGCCAUGAUCGAGGUUGCUCCCACCCCAUCCGAUGAGGACGAGCACACCAAUUCGGGCUUUGUUUUCAAGAGAAAAAGAUGAGAAGUCGCUCCCCCCACUGAACACUCCAACUCAGAUGGUCGAGCUCCACAUCAGGAGUUUGUCACCAUCCAAGAGUGUGAGGCUGAAAGCUCCCACAUGAAGAGCUUAUGGGAUGCUGGUUUUGAUGCUCUCGCUCACAAUAGGCCUCAUUUCUUAUUCCUAAAGAUAAAGCCAUAUUAUCUGCUCAAGUUAAAGAUCUCCUUCGUCACGAUUCUUUGAAGUUGUUCAGUCAAUCAUUUGUCUUGGCUUGCUUGGCCGAUGACAAAGCUCAAGAUCGCCAACCGUCUGAAGAACGGAAAUCCAAGGAGAUGCUAGAGCUUCGCAAGAGGAUAGACCACCUCAAAACAAAGAACAACCAACUCAAAAACUUGCGCAAGAAAGUUGAACAUCUCUACACCGAGAAAACUCAAAGCCCUGCUCGAAGAGAGGAAUAAGCUGCUACCUGAGAUAGAAAAUCUGAAGAAGGUGCCACCAAGAGAAUCGAAUCCCUCAAAGAUGAUGUUACCCGAUCCUUCUUGGAUGGCUUUGAGAUGGCUUUGGAACAAGAAACCGUAGUACAUCCAACCCUUAACCUCUCCGCCUUAGACCUGGGUAAAACCAUGGUCGACGGCCAAUUAAGGGAGGAGUAAUUUGAACGUUUAAUAUUUUCCUUACCUUACCUUACCUUACAAACCGUGGUCUGUAAUAUGCUAACUUUCCUUACCAUUUGAACACUUUAUAUUUUUAUGAGUACUUUACUUAUUGCCUCUUAAUCACUUUAACAUAUACAACUAUUUUAAAACCUUUACGAAUGCAUGUCACGAUACUUAACUUAUCAUAUAGCAAAGUUCGACUAUCAAUACACAUUCGGAUACUCUAUUACUCUAAUAUACAAAAUGACUUUAUGUCAAUAAAGGGUGAUGACAAAAAAAGCAGUUGAUGUUUAUAAUUACAAUUUUAUAGAAAAGAAAGUGAUAUAUUUGCAAAACUAUGAAAUGUGAUUUCUAUAGCUACUUUUGUACCGCCCAGGUAGUCGGAAUUGAUGACGUGGCCGCAAGCAAUAGUAUAGGCGUGUUGAACGGGACACCUGGCUGGCAGAAGGGAAGGACGUCGGGGGGCUCGUGUGAUCGCCAGUCGUUAAGUUGGCGUGUCCCGAUCUCUAGCAUACCUAAACCGACGGUCACCAAGUUUGUGUCGUAGUCGCCGGGUGUGAACCCAGGUGACAAGGCGAUCGGAGAUCGCCGAGAGGAGGACAUCGCCGAAGGAUCAGGAAAGCUUGUUCCAGGCUUUCGAAGCAAAGGAUGAGGUCGUCAGAUGGUCAUUCCCUAGCUGGCCAGAGGUUGAGGUCGGGGAACAGCUUACCCGAGCAUGCACAGUGAAGUAAGUAAAGUAGAAUAUAAUGGCGGCCGGCGAGACCACAGGGAAGGUGUGUAUGAAGACACCCGUACUCGCCACGCAGAAGAGAUCGCGCUCCAAGGCAGUUAUACGCUGAGUUGCUUCCUGCAUAAGUAACUUAGUCGAAAAGCCUGAAGAGUAAGAGGUGACGCUCAAGUCAAGGAUGCUCCAGAUGGUGACACGUGUACAGCUGGAUGCGAGCCACGUGUCCAGAUGUGUAACUGUCAGGAGAGAGAAAGCGCACAAGUAUACAAGGGAUCCUAACGAACUUCUGAGGUACGCGCGUUUUAGAAUACUUCUUUUACGCUUGCGAGAACUUGAGUACGCUGAGAGAGAACAUUGCACGGUUCCUGAAGUUCUUAGUUUUCUCUUAGUAUUUUGGUGGUUCAGUCGCUGACUUGGGCGUCGGAGCGUGAUCGGCCGCAGCGGCGCCGUUCUGUCUUUUGCAGGUUCUUGAGGUGAAUCAAGGCGAAGGACGGAAGCUAGCACGGUGCAAAGUCGAUCCAGAUUUGACGAGGCAAGGCUCUUGCGUUCUGGUCAACAGGCAGGAUCAUCAGGCGCCCACCGUGGGACUUGAACCCACGACCACAAGGUUAAGAGCCUGGGCGGUACUUUAAUGCAUUUAGUGAAUUUGGAUGGCUAACUGAUGAUUAAACUACUUUAAUUCCCAGUGAUGAUGUGUGGUUAUAGGUUGCUGUGAAGUAUUUAUAAAACAUUCUAUGCAACAGAUUUUUACUAUUAAUUUUACAUGAUUAGCUCAAAAUUAUGGAAAAUAUUAAUACUAUAGUAAGCCUCAAGGAAAUGCCUUUUUUCCUGUGAUACAGUGAGCUUAGUGUUUGCAAAAGCAUCUCCUUGCAGUGAGCAAUAUAAAUCAAACAUUGGUCUUUGUGCUUAGUGUUCACCUUAGGUUUCUUUGGAAGACAACUCUAUUGUUUGUUUAAUAAUCCCAAACAAUAAAGGACUUUUUCAUCAGACAUUUUACAAGUAAUUUAUUUUGCUGUUAAAUUAGUGUGACCUCUGGCAUUACCUCACCCAACAAUAUCCUCAUAAUUUGGUUUUUUUAAUUAAAUAUGGAAAACAACAUAGGUUUAAAAUAUGCAAAAAUCAAUGCCUCUUCAUCCAGGUAUAAAUAUUGCAGAAUGGACUAUUUUGUUGAUUUGGGUUAUAAUUGCCUGCAGAGUGCCUCCCUCUGACUGUUUUCCUUGAGCCCAAUUAAGUUUGCAGUGCAAUUCCUUAACCACUAAUGAUAAACAGUGCCAAUGCCAACUUCAGUUACCUGUUCAAAUAGUUAGGAGCACCUUCAGGAACUUCCUCUCCUUCAAAUUCCAUUCUUUCUUUCAACGCAUGCCCUCAUUCUGGAAACACAAACUGAACCUGCACUCCAAUUUCCAACCUCACAGAAAUAUCUGCAUUUGAAAAAAUGGAAAAAA
rnacentral:lncRNA from 1 species